rnacentral:rRNA from 1 species
CCUACGGGUGGCAGCAGUGGGGAAUAUUGCACAAUGGGGGAAACCCUGAUGCAGCAACGCCGCGUGAGUGAUGACGGCCUUCGGGUUGUAAAGCUCUGUCUUCAGGGACGAUAAUGACGGUACCUGAGGAGGAAGCCACGGCUAACUACGUGCCAGCAGCCGCGGUAAUACGUAGGUGGCGAGCGUUGUCCGGAUUUACUGGGCGUAAAGGGAGCGUAGGCGGACUUUUAAGUGAGAUGUGAAAUACUCGGGCUCAACUUGAGUGCUGCAUUUCAAACUGUAAGUCUAGAGUGCAGGAGAGGAGAAUGGAAUUCCUAGUGUAGCGGUGAAAUGCGUAGAGAUUAGGAAGAACUCCGAUUGCGAAGGCAGUUCACUGGACUGCAACUGACACUGAGGCUCGAAAGUGUGGGUAUCAAACAGGAUUAGAUACCCGGGUAGUC